rnacentral:rRNA from 1 species
UCGAGUGACACUGCGCCGAAAAUGUACCGGGGCUAAACAUAUUACCGAAGCUGUGGAUUGUCCUUUGGACAAUGGUAGGAGAGCGUUCUAAGGGCGUUGAAGCAUGAUCGCAAGGACAUGUGGAGCGCUUAGAAGUGAGAAUGCCGGUGUGAGUAGCGAAAGACGGGUGAGAAUCCCGUCCACCGAUUGACUAAGGUUUCCAGAGGAAGGCUCGUCCGCUCUGGGUUAGUCGGGUCCUAAGCUGAGGCCGACAGGCGUAGGCGAUGGAUAACAGGUUGAUAUUCCUGUACCACCAUUAUUCGUUUUAAGCGAUGGGGGGACGCAGUAGGAUAGGCGAAGCGUGCUGUUGGAGUGCACGUCCAAGCAGUGAGAUUGAGUGUUAGGCAAAUCCGGCACUCUUAAGAUUGAGCUGUGAUGGGGAGAGGAACUUGUUCCUCGAGUCGUUGAUUUCACACUGCCGAGAAAAGCCUCUAGCUAGAAUAACGGUGCCCGUACCGCAAACCGACACAGGUAGUCAAGAUGAGAAUUCUAAGGUGAGCGAGCGAACUCUCGUUAAGGAACUCGGCAAAAUGACCCCGUAACUUCGGGAGAAGGGGUGCUCUUUGAGGUUCACGCUUCGAAGAGCCGCAGUGAAUAGGCCCAAGCGACUGUUUAUCAAAAACACAGGUCUCUGCUAAACCGUAAGGUGACGUAUAGGGGCUGACGCCUGCCCGGUGCUGGAAGGUUAAGAGGAGUGGUUAGCGCAAGCGAAGCUACGAAUCGAAGCCCCAGUAAACGGCGGCCGUAACUAUAACGGUCCUAAGGUAGCGAAAUUCCUUGUCGGGUAAGUUCCGACCCGCACGAAAGGCGUAACGAUUUGGGCACUGUCUCAACGAGAGACUCGGUGAAAUCAUAGUACCGGUGAAGAUGCCGGUUACCCGCGACAGGACGGAAAGACCCCGUGGAGCUUUACUGUAGCCUGAUAUUGAAAUUCGGUACAGUUUGUACAGGAUAGGUAGGAGCCUUAGAAGCGUGAGCGCUAGCUUACGUGGAGGCAUUGGUGGGAUACUACCCUAAUUGUAUUGGAUUUCUAACCCGCAGCACUUAUCGUGCUGGGAGACAGUGUCAGGCGGGCAGUUUGACUGGGGCGGUCGCCUCCUAAAGAGUAACGGAGGCGCUCAAAGGUUCCCUCAGAAUGGUUGGAAAUCAUUCAUAGAGUGUAAAGGCAUAAGGGAGCUUGACUGCGAGACCUACAAGUCGAGCAGGGUCGAAAGACGGACUUAGUGAUCCGGUGGUUCCGCAUGGAAGGGCCAUCGCUCAACGGAUAAAAGCUACCCCGGGGAUAACAGGCUUAUCUCCCCCAAGAGUUCACAUCGACGGGGAGGUUUGGCACCUCGAUGUCGGCUCAUCGCAUCCUGGGGCUGUAGUCGGUCCCAAGGGUUGGGCUGUUCGCCCAUUAAAGCGGUACGCGAGCUGGGUUCAGAACGUCGUGAGACAGUUCGGUCCCUAUCCGUCGUGGGCGUAGGAAAUUUGAGAGGAGCUGUCCUUAGUACGAGAGGACCGGGAUGGACAUACCUCUGGUGUACCAGUUGUCGUGCCAACGGCAUAGCUGGGUAGCUAUGUAUGGACGGGAUAAGUGCUGAAAGCAUCUAAGCAUGAAGCCCCCCUCGAGAUGAGAUUUCCCAACUUCGGUUAUAAGAUCCCUCAAAGAUGAUGAGGUGAAUAGGUUCGAGGUGGAAGCGUAGCGAUACGUGGAGCUGACGAAUACUA